rnacentral:lncRNA from 1 species
UUUUGUCACAUAAUAAAUUUAACAUAUCGACUUUGAGGCAUGCUCAAGUAACUAUGAGGCCAAGAACUGAUUCACAAAAUAAGACAUUUUUAAGAAAGUUUUACGGCAUCAUGAUAACUAAAUCAACAAGUUACAAAACAUCCAUGUUUACAAUUCAGAAUGUGUAGAACUACAACAGCAUGCACCACUAAGUAAUAGCUUUCAGUUUGCAAAAAGGGAGAUAAGCAUUCACUCAUCAUAACCUCACAAGGUAGCUAUGAAUUAAUAACAAAGUUUUCAAAUAUUUUCAGUUAGUGAUACUGAACUCCAAACAGAGAACAAAGCUCUUGGCGACCUUCUUUUGCUACCCUUGAUUUCCUUCUUGCCAAUUCAUAUUUGAAUAUUCCUAUAAAGGUAAUAAUUUGUGAGUUUUCAGUUUGUGAACCAUGCAUGGAAACAACCAUGAAAGUACCAGCUAUGCAUCAUGUCAUACAGUUCAGUGGCAAAAAUCCAAGGCCAUAGUCACAAGCUCAAGGAACUCCCCUUCAGAAUUGCAUUGAAGCACUUGCUCAAGGGAAGAGGUCAUCGAGGACUCUUCUUCUAUAACUUCCCUGAACCAUGCCUGUCCAAUUUGAUAAACUAAAGUUCCAAUUCAUGUAGUCGGACAGUGUGGAUGGU